rnacentral:piRNA from 1 species
UGCAUCAUAUGUUGAGUACUAUGGUACAUAAAAAAAGGAAAAAUUGCCUAACUACAUUUUUUGCUCGAUAUUGGGAAAGAAAACGAGGAAAUUUCGUGAGGUAAUUUUAAAAAUCAAAAUAAAAAUUAAAAAAAAAUAGUUGAAUGAAAUCAAAGUUGAAUGUUUGGUUGAAAAAGAGAAAAAAAAAAUGUUUUGUUGCAUUGGUAAAAGAAAAAUGCCUAACUACUUUUUGCUCGAGUUCGGGAAAGAAAACGAGGAAAUUUCAUGAGGUAAUUUUAGAAAUCAAAAAUAAAAAUAAAAGUAAAAAUAGUUGACUGAAAUCAAAGUGAAGGCGUGGUUGAAAAAGAAAAAUGCCUUGUUGCGUGAAAAAAAAAAGAAAAAUGCUUUGUUGCGUUAAAAAAAAAGGAAAAAUGAAAAAGGUUUUUCAAAAAUAAAGGAUGACUUAAUGUCUUAAGUUUAACCGAAAACCAAUGUGUCUUCGUUGAUAAAUGGCUAAAAUAAGUGAUACUAAUUGAAUAAGUUGCUAAAUUGGUUAAAUAUUUUAAUUUUAAUUUUAAAAAUUAGUGAAAAUGGUUAAUAUAUAAACAAAAACAAAAUAGAUAUUGGUUUGAACCCGUUGUGUAUCUACAUGCCCUGAUUUAGAUGUCUUAAUUGCUUAAUUAUGCCCUAUAAAUUUUUUGUCUCUUCUGUAGCGACACUUAGGCGGAAACGUGAUCCUAAUCCUCAAGUGCGAAUUUAUGCUAUGUGUACAGGAGACAUGGAAAUCUAUAUAACCUUUACAUGUAAUUUUGUCUUGUGUUAUUGUUUUUUGAGAUCUCAAAAGCCGCGUGUCGUAUUUUAAUUUGUCUCAAGCCUUAAUGCGUUCUAGGGGUUUUUAUGCGAUCCCCUAGGGCACUUAAGAUGUGCUCGCCCAAUAUCCACUUUAUAUAUUGGGUAUCGGUACCUAUAUUAAUACCUUGAAUACAGGGUUCGAGGAGAAUCUCGAUCCUUCUAAAAGGUCGUUUAAUCCCUUUUGGGAGAAAACGUAAGCUUGAAUAGCUUAGUUAUUUUAAAAUUCUAACAAAUUAAAAGUGGUAAUGUGCGUGAAUUUUGUUCAUAUUUGACUUUGAGAUCUAUGUGUAGGUGGAAUAAGUAACGUUUUUUUUUAUUUUAUUAUUAUUAUUUUUUGGAGUCUGUAAAGUAAUUAUGAUUAAUUAUAAUAGGGAUGUGAACUCAUUGAGAUUUGUUGGUACGUCUGGUGUGGGUGAAAUUGUAUUUGUAAAAGUCGAUAUGUAGGCUCGAACUGGAAUCCAAGAUUGGUGACAUGGAGAAAACCUGUGGAUGGGGAAACGCGGUGACCUAAUUUUAUGUGCUGGUCAAAAGAGGGACCCGAAGUAAUUUGAGAUCCGGAAACGGGAGCUCCCUCUGUUUGCAUACGGCUGAUUUUAUCGCCUCGCGGGGCACUUGUUUCCUGUCUGCUAAUUGUUUUUGGGUGCGACUCGAAUCUUGUUACUGGAGUGGGAUUUCUUUCUUUCUUUCGACACUGGUUUGUUACUUCUCAGUUACUUCUAUCUCCUCGGAAUUUAUUUAGAUUUUCUGCAAAAAUGCUUCCUAAUAUUACAAUAAGUUUUACAAAUGCUUGACCUAAAUGAAAAACUGCCUCUUGCAGCUCGAAAAUUCUAUGAGGGGGCAUGAUAUAGAUUAACAAAUAACUAAGAAAUAAAACUGGGAUACAUUUGUAGGGUAGGACUAGCAAACAAAGGAUGAAAAUCAGAUGAAAGAUAGGGUAUCGAUACAUGUUCUUCCAUAUUGUUGUAAAUGGCGACUCUGAAAUAUUUGUUCGAACCUUAUUCAUUGUUGAUCGUUCAAUUUCGCACUGUUUGUUAUCGUUGGGGAGUGGCGUGUAUCUUUUUUGGGACAGAAUGAUAGGAUUGAAAUGAUUGUCAGGUUCGCAGUUCUUAACAUCGGGGAAGAAUGGCGUAAAACGCCUUGUUGCAAAAAUGGCAGGGUCUAAAUGCCUGAAAGGCUCGCUGUUGGUGGGUUUGAACCUUAAUGGCUCUGCUGGGAAUAAUUCGGGUGUUAAAUGCUUAAAAGGGAACGUGUAAUCGGGUUUGUGCUUUAUAUGACAUAUGCUAACGGCGGGCGGUGAUAUAUAACGGACUGUUUCUGUAUACAGUUUAAGCUUGUUGACGUGGAUCGUAUCAGUGUCUCUUUGAAGAGGUCGAUUUGGUCGAUCUAUACGGACCACAUUCGGUGAAAUAAUUUCUAAUACUGUGUGGGGUCCUGUGAAAUAUGGCGCGAGUUUCCCUGUAUUGGGGUGGUGAUAUAAUUUAACUAACACUAGAUCACCUACUUCGAAAUGUGGUUGUUUGUGUCGUUGAUCAUAAAUGUUUUUGUCUUGUAAAUGCUUGUUUUGUGUGCGUGUGUGUGCAAUCUUUCUAGCUUUGUCGAUCUCUGGGUAAGGUGUGCUAUGGUCAGAGAGUUCUGGGGGUAGGAUACCAAACAUUAGGUAUAUGGGUGGAAAACCUGUGGUAGAGUGUGGGGUUUUGUUAUAUAUGACUGUAACUCUUUUGACCAACUUGGUCCAUGCGAUCUUAGGAUUUUCUAAAUGUAACAGCCUAAGUUUUCCCGUGAGGGUGGCGUUCAGACGUUCACAUAGACCGUUGGCUUGUGGAUUGUUGCUGGUUGUGAGUAGUGGGUGGAUGUUUCUAUUAAGUAGGAAACUACGAAAUUUUGGCGAAGUGAAGGCAGGGGCUCUAUCCGUGAGGAGGCUUUUCGGAGAACCAUCCUGUAAUACUCGCUUAAGUACCUGUUGGUAGGUGAUGAUGCUGGUGGAUUUAGUUGGAAAAGUCCACGCGUAGCGCGAAAAAUGGUCGACUACAACAUGGAGGUAUAUUUUGGUGUUGCCAUAUUUGGCAAAUCCUGCUAUGGUGUCUAGGGAUAACAGGUCGAAAGGUUCUUUGGCUUCCGGAGGUUGAUUUAAUUUCCCGUAAGUGGGUCCCAAUGGACGUUUUGUUAAUUGGCAGGUGGGGCAGGUCUUAACCUUUUGUUUAAUAUCUUUUGACAUACCUUGCCAGUAAUAUUGCGUGGAUAUGAGUCGUGACAUUUGUGAAAUACCGGGGUGAUUGUAUUGUUUGUGUACUGUUUGUAAGAGUUGUUGUAUGAGUGGUUUUGGAAUUAUAAUCUUGGUUACACCUUUUCGGGAAACUGUAUGUAAUCCAUUACGAUCAAUGGUCAGGUUAGACUCUCUCGAUGGAGGAGGUUGGUGUGUCUUGAUAAGGGACGCGUCCAAGAAUCCACAAAACGGGUUACGGGACAAGAGAUCUGCCUCAUACUGUUGUUUUCCCUUUAUGUAGCGGACCUCAUAUUCGUAACUCGAUAGUCGUAAACUCCAUCGAAACAAUCUGUCGGACGGGUUUUUGAUGGUCUUCAGCCACUGCAAUGCGUGAUGGUCAGAAAAUAUAGUAAACUUUCUGCCCAUCAGAUAGAUGCGAAACUUCUCCACACUCUCAACGAUUGCUAAGCACUCAAGUUCAGAGAUGGAGUAGUUUUUCUCGUGUGGGCGCAGUGUUCGGCUGAAAAACUGAACUGGAUAUACGUUCCCGUCAGGGUGAACCUGUUUGAGAAUGCCUGCUAUACCGAGGGUGGAUGCAUCGCAAUACACUUGGCAUGGCAGGCCCUCUUUGUAAAGGUGUAAAAUGGGGUGUUGUGUGAGGUUCCCUUUCAGGUCAAUGAACGCCUUUUGACAAGCUUCAUUCCAGAUCCACACGACAUCCUUUUUGAGAAGGUUGUUGAGAGGUGCUCGCAAGCGAGCGUACUCCGGAAUGAAUUUGUUAUAGACGUUCACAGCGCCUAAAAAGGAUUGUAGUGUUUUCGGUUGUGUGGCUGUUUAAUGGCGUGAAUAAUGUCGGUGUUGCGUGUGAGCGGUGUAGUUGUACCAGCUGUGAUGGUGUAGCCUAGGAAAUCUAUGGACUGCUUAAAAAAUUCGCAUUUCGCGAAGUUAAGUUGUAGCUUCUCUGCUUCGCAAAAGGCGAAAAAUUGUCGCAGGUGGUUUUGAUGUUCCUCCAAUGUGUUGGAGUAAAUGAUGAAAUCAUCAAAAUAAUGUGCCACACAGUCAAGUCCGUGUCUCUGUAGGACCUGGCUCAUGGCUCGUUCGUAGAUCUGAGGGCUGGUUUUUAAUCCGAAAGGUAAUCGAGUGGGUUGGUAUAACCCUUCGAGGGUGGCAAAUGCUAACAGUGGUCGAGAAUCGGGGUGUAUUGGGACCUGCCAAUACGCAGAGGAUAUGUCGGCCGUGGAGAAAUACUUGGCCUGUGCGAGGCGGUCGAGAAUAUCCUCGAUUCUCGGGAGGGGAUGGACAUCAGAGCUAAUUAGCUCGUUCACCUUUCUAUAAUCGAUACAAAACCGUUUGGUCUUGUCGCGCUUAGUGACGAGGGUGACAGGGCUCGAGAAAGGUGAAAAAGAUUGCUCUAUAAUUCCAUUCUCUAGCAUUUGUUGGACUUGAUUACGGAUUUCUUGUUGGUCACAUAUCGGAACACGAUAUGGCCGUAUGGUAAUUAUUUUGUCGGAAUUCGUGGGUAUUUUUACGGGUGGAAUCCUUAAGCAUGGUACAUUGAAUUUGUUCUGUGUGAAGAUGUGAUUGUACCUUUGUAACAGUGUUGUGAACUUGGGUGUAUAGCGAGUGUCAGGUGUUGUGUUGUAGUAUGCAUGUGGUAAAGGAUUUUGUUGGGUCUUAGUGUGAGUGUCGAGUUCGUUGUGUGGGUUUGUCAUGUGAUAGUUGUGUGACGGCGUAUGAUCACCUAUGUGCUCGACAUGUAAGUUGUCCUGCUGUAUAGACAUGUUUUGGGCAGGUUUUUUACAAGUUGAAGCCGUUGUGGUUUUGUUAUUUGAGGGCAUAUAAAAAGGGCAAUUGGCCUUAGUGAAAUAAGGGCAUGUAGAUGAGGGGGUGUUUUUCAAUGAAUGCGCGCAAUGGUUGUCAUAGGCGGAAGGUUGGGAUGCAGGGUAAAUUCUUUGUGACAUCGCCUGACACUGCCAGUACGUGCAUACAUUCGGUACAUGGUUAAAAUGGUAGGCAAGGGUAGAUAAUGGGGCGCCCAGCUGGAAUAUAGUGCAUUUAUUAAAAUCUAUUGCCAAUUUGAAUUUGUGGAGACUAUUAAUGCUAAGAAUUCCAAAUGGUAGCGGUGCAUUCACUACAUGGAAAUUCUCUCUUCGGGAUAUUUGUCCUAUUGCCAGAGGGAUAGACAGUUUACCCAUUGUUUUUGCAAAACCAUCUAGGGUUUGGAGGUCCAGUGAAUGUCUCUUAAGGGUUAAUUUAGGCAGGUGAGUUUUUAACAUAUGGUAGAGAUUAUAUGGCACUAUAUUCAGGCUGGCGCCUGUAUCAAUUAAAAAGGGGCAUGGUAUAUUAGGGGCUAGGAAAAGUUUGACAGUCAGUUGGGUUAGGGAUCCUACCUCAGUCUCGAAAGUCUGCUCGGCUGGGGUGUCUCUGGCUUGACUUGGUUGCUGGGGACUCGGGACUGGUUGCUUUGGGACUGUUUGCACUGUCCGGGCACUUUGAUAGCUUGGGACUGAUUGCACUGUCCGCUCUUUUUCGUCGGUCGCCGGGACUGGUCGAUGUCGGCAUUCGCUGUGCCAGUGUCUCGCGCCGCAGAACUUACAGUUGGACGGUGGGAGAGGUGCAUUCCAGGCACCUGGGCGUCGGGGUGGGCUGUGGUAUGGACCCGACAUCGUGGGCGGUUGAUCCUCUCGGUGUCGUGUUGUCGGUACACUGGGCCCGUGGAUCCGCUGUACCAGUCGGAACCACUCUCCUAGGUUCUCGGGAGGCACUACACGGACUAAGCGCUGGUCGGAGAAUGGCAACCCUUCUGUCAGCGUCUCGAGGAUCACCUCCUGCGGGAGUCCUAGUUGCAGUCCCAUGGCGGUUUUCUCCCGGUAGUAGGUCUCUAGGUUGCUUGUCCAGUAAGUUUCAUGGCAAAAUAUUUCGCAAAGGACGCUUCGCUUGACUCAGGGUAGAGAUCUAAGAGGAUUUGUCUCACCUGGAAAUAGCUCCGGUCGGCCAGCCGAAGUUUCCUGAAAAGCUCCAGGGGUUGUCGCGCCAGGUAGUUUGGUAGACGGAGCAGUCUUUCCUUUUCUUCUAUGGUGGCGUCUUCCAUUUUCCGGUCGAAUGCUUGGAAAAACUGGAUCGCGCUGUAUGUUCCAUCAAAAAGCGAGAUGGUCGGUCCUGGAGGGUCGCAUGACCUACCCUGGGACAGCGCGGCGGUGAACUGCUGAAUGACAUCCGCUAGAGGGCCCGCUUCCUGCCUGCUGGUCAUUUCCUGUCUGCUGCUUUCUUCUCCCCUUUCUUUCGUUGGUUCGUCCUUUUUGAUAGAAUCUUGGCUAUUCUCCAUCUCUUUAUCCUGUCGACUUAAUCCGCCUGUCGCAAUCUGGUUGCGGAAUUUCUUGUUGUUGGAUGAGAAUGGUGUAGAUUGUUUGAAGCGCAGUCGUUUGAGUGGAAAGUGAAGCAUACAGUGGGGAAUAACCAGGACACGUGAUAAGGUUUUUGAAAAUAAAAGGCAACUGGUCGGAGGAAAGAAAGGCUUUUGAGAAGAUGGAGCGGAUUUUGACUAUUAACUAUCUGAUCACAUGGCGGUGAUUGACUUUUGGUGCUAUCUCGGUGGGAGCGAGUCGAAGACUAGGUCCGAACUCGGUGGGAGCGAACGAACAACCCUAGGUGUUAUCUCGAUGGGAGCGACUCGAUGACUGCCCCCUAACGAACCUUCUAACAGACUUUUUAACGGCCGUCUGCUAUGUUGCAACAUCCAACCGUCUACCUUGGCCUUGACCCAACUCUUUCUCCCAGGUUUUCUAAGCCUUGUUUUCUAGUCCUUUCUAUCCUCCAGUUGUUUGUUACCUUUGUUCUUUUUAUUGACACAAAUCAUACAUUUCAUACAUAUUUGGAUUAGGUUGGCAUCUAAUUAUACAAAUUAUGACAUACAUUUAUUAUAUACAAUAUUUUAUUUAAAUUCUUUUCUGUUUGUAACAUUUAGAUGUUUUAAAAUAUAUUUACUUAGAAGAAAAUAUGAUGUUAAUAAUUUUUAAUUUAUUUUAUACGGAAACUAUGACACAGUGUCAUAAUAAACAUAUAACAGAUGUCAAUUUCAAAUGACUUACCAUUAUGUAAGAAAUUGGCAGGGAGGUUUUCCUAUUAUAUGGUUACAUAUACCCAGAUUUAAUAUUUUAAUUCAUGAAAUACAUUUCAUUAAGUUUACCUUUAUUUAUAAACCAGUUGAUAGUUUAAACCAAUUAGAAGCUUAUUUAUUUUUAGGCCUAAAUGUCUUUUUUUUUCAUCUUUAUUGUUUGAAACAAUUUUCUAAGGCAAUUUAUUGAAUAAAAAGGCAUGUUUUCUUUUUAAGUGUUUGAAAUAACAAAAGCUAUAAUUAUUAUUAUCUUAAUAAGGUAUUUCAGGAAUAUUGUAUAUGAGUGUAUGAAAAAAAUACAUUUCUUGACAUUCUUUUUGGUUAAUAAUGAUUUUCACUUAUAGAAGUGUUAGAAUGCCAAUGGUCUGCCCUUAGGGGUACAUUCUUGACCUACAUGAUUAAGCUUUUCAUAGUAUAAAGGAAAUAUUUACAUGGUAUGAAAAAGUUAAAUUUAGAGUAAAAGGUUUUCAUAUUUAAUUUUUUUAGGGCAAUUUCUAGAUUUUUUGAACUUUUUUUUGUGUGUAAAUUUAUCAAAAUGUAAGAGCAUUUGUGCAUCCUUUUUUUUUAAACUCAGCCUUUGUUUUUAGUAAUUUUAUAAACUUUUAUUUUAGUAUAGAUUUAAGACCUACGUUUAUGAUUAAAGAGAUAUCCAUUUCUUCAACUAGGAGUUAAGAUUUUGUGUCUCGGACAGUGAAGCACCUAAAAGACGAUAUUUAGGCUCUCUUGGUAUCCAUCACUGUGAGCAAUCUUUAUGAAGCAAUGUUGAAUUAGUUGGAUAGUCAGUGUAGUAGUUUUUUUAAUAGGAUUCAAGGAUUUAUAAUAUGGUCUAAUUUGAGGAUUUUUCCUUUUUUUGUUGUUUUCUCUUUGUCGCUUAUUGUAAACACAGGACGGAUGGGAUACAGGCCCUCUAGAUAGCUUUUACAGUAAAUGAUAAUAUUUUUUUUAGGUUAAAUAGAUAGGAUUUGAUGAAUAUUUGAAGAUAGGAUUUCUAUAUUUUUUUAUGAACCUUGCACACUUUUUUUUUAAUGUUAGAUUACUAUUUUGGGUACCGAAUGACCAAAUUGGUGGUAAUUAUUAAAGUUUAUUUUCUUUUGUGAGUUUAUGGAGGUGGACCAUAACUAGAUUUUCUUUGGUAUAGAGCACUUGUGCUUAUCUCCCUGAAUUUAGUUUUUGAAUAGUUGUUUUGUUUGUUUAAUGUUCAGGCAGUGCUUUUGAUUUCAAGUUUAGUUUAAAUGCACCCACAAAUGUUUUUAUUUUUUUUUGUAUGAAUGAAGGGUAGUGAACGAGAUAUCAAACUUCAAGCCAGCAGUAUGUUAGACCUGGACAAAUUAAAAUAUUGGUAGGAUAGGAUCUUGUAACUUUAUACAAAAUGUGUUAGGACCUUAAUAGUUUGAUCUACCAUCAGGGAUCUGUAAACUCACUGACAAUCUGAUAUGUCUGCUUAGGCAGAGUUUCUUCACUUCAUGUGGAGGUAUAAAUUUGAUUUCAAUUUUUUUCUUUGUUUAUAUAUGUUAGGUUCAAACUUAUCUAUUUUUUUAACUGGAUUUUUUUACCCUGGAUGAGAUAUAGGCUCUCCAGCUAAGUUUCUCUUUCUGUGAAGAAAGCACUCGCAUGGUUGUGGGAAAUGUCAUUUGUCAUGUGCUCUGGGAGCACACACUGGAUGUCAAGGGAGAGAGUCCCAUGAUUCCUUUUCUUCUGACUGCUCUGGGAGCAGCGGUUGUGUUGAGACCAUGUGAAGGUCUUUGUCCUCCGCCUGAAAGUCCCGAAGGUGUGAGAAGCUCUAGCUUUGGGCAGCUAGAGGACAAAUGGCAUAAUCACAUGUAAACUAACAAGUACCUGAGUGUCAGUUUGUGA